AACGAACGCUGGCGGCAUGCCUAACACAUGCAAGUCGAACGAGACCUUCGGGUCUAGUGGCGCACGGGUGCGUAACGCGUGGGAACCUGCGCUUAGGUUCGGAAUAACUCCCUGAAAGGGGUGCUAAUACCGGAUAAUGUCUUCGGACCAAAGAUUUAUCGCCUUUGGAUGGGCCCGCGUUGGAUUAGCUAGUUGGUAGGGUAAAAGCCUACCAAGGCUACGAUCCAUAGCUGGUCUGAGAGGAUGAUCAGCCACACUGGGACUGAGACACGGCCCAGACUCCUACGGGAGGCAGCAGUAGCGAAUAUUGGACAAUGAGCCAUAGCCUGAUCAAGCAAUGCCGCGUGAGAGAUAAAGUCCUUAGUGUUGUAAAGCUCUUUUGGCCGAGAUGAUAAUGACAGUACCGGGAGAAUAAGCUCCGGCUAACUCCGUG
rnacentral:rRNA from 1 species